rnacentral:lncRNA from 1 species
CAACAAUAGGAAAUAAAAAAUGACAAGGAAUGCAAGCAUUGGGAGAAGCUUUGAGCUUUGCAAAGUGCUGUAUAUGAAGGAAGGUACCUAAAGGUUGACAUCUAUUUCAAAUGAUAUCAAAAAUUAACUUUGAAUAUGGGUGUAUGUAAAAACACUGGCAACCAGCUUGUAUGCCAAUAUAUAAAAGUCUCAUUGACCCAUGUUUCAGUGUAUGCUGAUGUAGCUUCUAAAAUGUGAGAGGGCAAGGAAAUUAGACGUUACAGUACUUUUCACAAACUAAUCUGGCUUUAGUCUAUAUACUACAAGAAGUAAUAAGAAAAAUCAAUUUCAGAAGAUUACCAAUCCUUUCUUCCUGGCAUCUUUCAAAAACUCUUAAAAGUGAAUUUGGCAUUGACAGAUACUAAAUGGCGAUAAUUAUGUUAUAUCAGCAAAACGAGUAAUGAACAGUUUUAGUCUUCAACGGUUGAAAUUACUCAGCAAACAUGAAUUCAUUGAAGAAACUGAUUGUCGUUGCUCUAGCAUAAAGAUCGUUGCACGAUCGACUUGAUAAAAGAUGAAAUUACUUAUAUAUGUGAUUAAUUAAAAAAAGACAAUUAGUUUGUAAUAAUCAGGUGAAUGGUAGCCUUUAUUAUAUGGCUGGUUGUGUUCAGCACAGGAUGUUGUGCAUAGUUAAUGUAACAAUAUCAGUUUUUCAGUUCCAAAAUUAAAAAUUAUGUUUCACAUAGUAAA